CCUACCUUGGCUCAGUUGGUAGAGCGGAGGACUGUAGAUCCUCAGGUCACUGGUUCGAAUCCGGCAGGUCGGA
rnacentral:tRNA from 1 species